rnacentral:rRNA from 1 species
AAGAACUUUGAAAAGAGAGUGAAAAAGGGCCUGAAAUUGUUAAGAGGAUAAGUGGUUGGAGCAUAUCAUAUCAUACGGUCACAAAAGGUCCUCCGGGAUUGGUAUGGCCGUGUGGUUGGUCAGCAUCUAUUUCUGGGGGGGGAGAAUGCUUUUGCGAAGGCCUUCGGGCUGACGUGUUAGUGAAACCCUGCUGGAGAUAGAGGCACAAAGAGCGCGCAUAGCGGCCGGCCCCUUUUGCGGUGUGUAAUGUUGGGUCGAUCCUUCGGGCAUUUACUUUUCAUUGGGCUUCGACUUGAGGGAGCGCUGGACCUGCGUUCUGAAGAUGCUGGCACAAAUGGCUUCAACCAGCCCGUCUUGAAACACGGACCAAGGAGUCUAACACAUAUGCGAGUAGUAAGGUGGCAAACCUUGGAUGCGCAAUGAAAGUAACGUGGUGGGAUUCGUAAGAUGCACCAUCAACCGACCAGGAUCUUUUGUGAAAGGUUUGAGUAAGAGCAUAUAUGUUGGGACCCGAAAGAUGGUGAACUA